CGUAGGUGGCGAGCGUUGUCCGGAAUUACUGGGUGUAAAGGGCGUGUAGGCGGGAAUGCAAGUCAGAUGUGAAAUACCGUGGCUUAACCACGGGGCUGCAUCUGAAACUGUGUUUCUUGAGUGUCGGAGAGGAAAGUGGAAUUCCCAGUGUAGCGGUGAAAUGCGUAGAUAUUGGGAGGAACACCAGUGGCGAAGGCGACUUUCUGGACGAUAACUGACGCUGAGGCGUGAAAGCGUGGGGAGCAAACAGGAUUAGAUACCCUGGUAGUCCACGCUGUAAACGAUGGAUACUAGGUGUGGGAGGUAUCGACCCCUUCCGUGCCGCAGUUAACACAAUAAGUAUCCCACCUGGGGAGUACGGCCGCAAGGUUG
rnacentral:rRNA from 1 species